CUCUUAUUUAUUGGACAUCUAGAUGACAUGAGUGUAUAUUUCUCUGGGAGUGAGAUGUCUCUUUCUGCAGGCUGUCAUUCUGUGGAGUCACAGAGGAAGGUUGUGCUUUUCUAGCUUCAGAUGUCAGCUCAAAUUCCUCCCACCUGAGAGAGUUGGACCUGAGCUACAAUAACCCUGGAGACUCAGGGAAACUGCUCUCUACUCUAUUGGAGGAUCCACGCUAUAAACUGCAAACAGUCAGUGUGGACCAUGAUUCAGAGUGCUGGUUACAAUCAGCACUGAGAAAAUAUGCCUGUGAGCUCACACCAGACCUCAACACCAUACACCCUCAACUGUACCUGACUCGGGAGAACAGGAAGGUGGUGCAUGACUCCAAAGGACAUCAGAAAAACUAUCCUGAGCACCCAGAGAGGUUUGACCAGUGGACUCAGAUGCUGUGUAGAGAGCCUCUUUCUGGGCGCUGCUACUGGGAGGCAGAGUGGGAGGGUUAUGGGGCUUAUGUAGGGCUGACAUAUAGAAGACUUGUUAGGAAAGGAGGGAAUAAUGACUGUGUGAUUGGCUACGAUGACAUGUCCUGGAGUUUGUACUGCAAUGACAAGUCCUAUGAUGCCUUUCAUAACAUAAAGAGCACCCUCAUCCUUUUACCGUCCUCCAGCUCCCGCAGAGUAUGAGUGUAUCUGGAUUGGUGGUACCCUUGGUGGUAUCCUGUCCUUCUACAGUGUUUCCUCUGACACACUGACCCACCUGCACACAUUCCAUGCCACCUUCACUGAGCCACGUUAUGUGGUGCUAUGGCCUUGACUCAGCUAUUACCCUGUGCAGAGUAAGACAGUUCUGAGUCCUCAGGCAAGUCACCUCCUGCUCCAGCACACAUGUUCUAGUCCUGUUUAUACCUGGAGCUAUAACAUAGCUUUGUCCUGAUCUUGUCCACAUUCUGAUUGUCUACAACUGUCUAAAAAUGUAGGCACAAUCAAAAAACACAUUACCUGAUUGUGAUCAGAUCUUCCUUCCCACCUCCGGAGGCAGACAGGCACCCAUUGUGUCUGAAUAUCUUUACAAGUGUAGAUGGAUCUGGACAGUAAAACCAUUUAAAUCAUCAUCAUCCCACCCUCUAAAUCAGGCCCCCUUUUGAAGGCCCUCGGAU